rnacentral:rRNA from 1 species
UACUCCUACGGGAGGCAGCAGUAGGGAAUCUUCCGCAAUGGACGAAAGUCUGACGGAGCAACGCCGCGUGAGUGAUGAAGGUUUUCGGAUCGUAAAGCUCUGUUGUUAGGGAAGAACAAGUACCGUUCGAAUAGGGCGGUACCUUGACGGUACCUAACCAGAAAGCCACGGCUAACUACGUGCCAGCAGCCGCGGUAAUAAA